CCUACGGGGGGCAGCAGUGGGGAAUAUUGCACAAUGGGGGAAACCCUGAUGCAGCGACGCCGCGUGAGUGAAGAAGUAUCUCGGUACGUAAAGCUCUAUCAGCAGGGAAGAAAAUGACGGUACCUGACUAAGAAGCCCCGGCUAACUACGCGCCAGCAGCCGCGGUAAUACGUAGGGGGCAAGCGUUAUCCGGAUUUACUGGGUGUAAAGGGAGCGUAGACGGCAGCACAAGUCUGGAGUGAAAUCCCGGGGCUUAACCCCGGAACUGCUUUGGAAACUGUGCGGCUGGAGUGCAGGAGGGGUAAGCGGAAUUCCUAGUGUAGCGGUGAAAUGCGUAGAUAUUAGGAGGAACACCAAUAGCGUAGGCAGGUUACUGGGACGGUUCUGACACUAAGGCACGAAAGCGUAGGGAGCAAACGGGAUUAGAUACCCCAGUAGUC
rnacentral:rRNA from 1 species